rnacentral:rRNA from 1 species
AUUGAACCCUGGCGGCAGGCCUAACACAUGCAAGUCGAGCGAGCGGCGGACGGGUGAGUAAUGUAUGGGGACCGCCCGAUAGUGGUGGAUAACUACUGGAAACGGUAGCUCAUACCGCAUACUAUCGGAUAACCUAUAUGGGAUUAGCUAGUAGGUGAGGUGAUGGCUCACCUAGGCGACGAUCCCUAGCUGGUCUGAGAGGAUGAUCAGCCACACUGGGACGGAGACACGGCCCAAAGUCCUACGGAGGCAGCAGGGGGGAAGGUGGCACAAUGGGCGCAAGCCUGAUACAGCCAUGCCGCGUGUAUGAAGAAGGCCCGAGGGUUGUAAAGUACUUUCAGUCGGGAGGCGGUACCGGCAGAAGAAGCACCGGCUAACUCCGUGCCAGCAGCCGCGGUAAUAC